rnacentral:rRNA from 1 species
CAUGUCUAGUAUAAGCAAUUAUACCGUGAAACUGCGAAUGGCUCAUUAAAUCAGUUAUCGUUUAUUUGAUAGUACCUUACUACUUGGAUAACCGUGGUAAUUCUAGAGCUAAUACAUGCUGAAAACCCCGACUUCGAAGGGGUGUAUUUAUUAGAUAAAAAACCAAUGCCCUUCGGGGCUCCUUGGUGAUUCAUAAUAACUUCUCAGAUCGCAUGGCCUUGCGCCGGCGACGGUUCAUUCAAAUUUCUGCCCUAUCAACUUUCGAUGGUAAGGUAUUGGCUUACCAUGGUUUCAACGGGUAACGGGGAAUUAGGGUUCGAUUCCGGAGAGGGAGCCUGAGAAACGGCUACCACAUCCAAGGAAGGCAGCAGGCGCGCAAAUUACCCAAUCCCGACACGGGGAGGUAGUGACAAUAAAUACUGAUACAGGGCUCUUUUGGGUCUUGUAAUUGGAAUGAGUACAAUUUAAACCUCUUAACGAGGAACAAUUGGAGGGCAAGUCUGGUGCCAGCAGCCGCGGUAAUUCCAGCUCCAAUAGCGUAUAUUAAAGUUGUUGCAGUUAAAAAGCUCGUAGUUGAACCUUUGGCCUGGCUGGCAGGUCCGCCUCACCGCGUGCACUUGUCCGGCCGGGCCUUCUUUUCUGGAGAACCGCAUGCCCUUCACUGGGUGUGUUGGGGACCAGGACUUUUACUUUGAAAAAAUUAGAGUGUUCAAAGCAGGCCUUUGCUCGAAUACGUUAGCAUGGAAUAAUAGAAUAGGACGUGCGGUCCUAUUUUGUUGGUUUCUAGGACCGCCGUAAUGAUUAAUAGGGACAGUCGGGGGCUUCAGAAUUCAUUUGUCAGAGGUGAAAUUCUUGGAUUUAUUGAAGACUAACUACUGCGAAAGCAUUUGCCAAGGAUGUUUUCAUUAAUCAGUGAACGAAAGUUAGGGGAUCGAAGACGAUCAGAUACCGUCGUAGUCUUAACCAUAAACUAUGCCGACUAGGGAUCGAGCGGUGUUAUUAUUUUGACUCGCUCGGCACCUUACGAGAAAUCAAAGUGUUUGGGUCUGGGG